UUGGUACUCGGGGAUGGACGAGGGGGGGGUUGGUACUCGGGAUGGACAUGGGGGGGUUGGUACUGUAGCGGGGAUGGACACGGGGGGGUUGGUACUCGGGAUGGACACGGGGGGGUUGGUACUCGGGAUGGACACGGGGGGCCCUUGGCAGCGGGGAUGGACAUGGGGGAGCCUUCGGGGGGGGCGUUAGUAUGGGGGGGCCGUUGGCACCGGCUUUGACUGGCGAUUGACACGGGCCGGGAGCAUUGACACGAGCUCCCCUGGAAGCAGCUCUAGUGAGCGAGAGAAUUUACCUCAGUGAAAAUUUAGCGGGAAAGCCACCCUGUCCCUCUGAUUGGUCGCGCUGGAUGGGCGGGAAUGGCUAUCAUUGGCUGUGCGCGCUGUGAAGUCAUCAGUCACUGGGCCAGGUUGUGGGGGUCUUCCGCAAAGUUAGACUCUGGAAUACCACGUGGUUCGUUCUCCUACUAUGUGGACCCUGAUUGGUUGGGAGCUGAGGCGAGAGAGCGGUUGGGUCUCUCAGUCUCCUGGUUGGAGAGAUCCCGCUGAUUGGCCGGAGCCGCCGGAGCGUCCCAGUCUCCAGGGCUGAGGGAAGAUCCCCACGUGGAACCUGGAUCCGGUGAUUGGCUGGAGCACUAGAACAGGCUGGCAGCCACGGGUGGCACCAAGCUGGUGAAGAGGGAAUAUUUGAAAGUUAAUGUGCCGCAAACAUGCGAAGAAAUCCUGUCCUACAUUCUGGUGCAGGCCCCGCCGCCCACGCCCUCCGCCCCCCGGCCCCGCUUCUCCCUCUAUCUCUCUGCCCAACUGCAGUAUGGGGUGGUGCGGGUCUACAGCCGACAGUGCCACUACCUCAUCGAGGAGAUCCAGCACACCUUGGAGCGUCUAAGCCGGGCCCAGCAGCAGAUCCGCAUCGACAUGGGGGACCUUGAACAGUGAGUCAUGGGGAGGGGUCUGGGGCCCCCCAUAACUCCUGGGACACUCCUGAACCCCCACAGCACCUAGGAUAUGCCUGUAACCCCUCUCCCAGGUAGGGGCAUCAGUAUGGAGGUGGGAGGCCAAUUGGCAAGGGAGAGGCAUGGGGGGAGCAUAGCAGUGGUGAGGGGGUCAGUACGGAGGAGGAGAUUAG
rnacentral:lncRNA from 1 species